CAGACGAUGCGUCAUGCAUAUCAAUAAGCGGAGGAAAAGAAACUAACAAGGAUUCCCCUAGUAACGGCGAGUGAAGCGGGAAGAGCUCAAAUUUGAAAUCUUAAAGGGUUUCCCUUUACGAAUUGUAGUUUAAAGAAGUGUUUUCUGUUGAGGUUUUGGUAAAAGUUCUUUGGAAUAGGACAUCAUAGAGGGUGAGAAUCCCGUAUUUGACCUUUACUUUCAACUUUGUGAUACACUUUCAAAGAGUCGGAUUGUUUGGGAAUGCAGUCCAAAAUGGGUGGUAAAUUUCAUCUAAAGCUAAAUAUUGGCGAGAGACCGAUAGCGAACAGGUACCGUGAGGGAAAGAUGAAAAGAACUUUGAAAAGAGAGUUAAACAGUACGUGAAAUUGUCAAAAGGGAAGCGUUUGACACCAGUGUUGUUUUUCUGAAAAUCAAUUAAAGAACUGUUUAUGCUAAGUUGUUUAGACUUUAUCAGCUAUCUGUUUAGUUUUGAGCUUUUCUUUAAUGCACUUUUCAGUUAACAAGUCAACAUCAAUUUCUUUUGCUGUAAAAAAGCUUGAGGAAGGUGGCUUGAGAUUCGUCUUAAGUGUUUAUAGCCUCUUGCCUAUGCAGUCGGAGAGAUUGAGGUCUGCAGCGUAGAUCCUUCGGGGCUAAAUGCAUUUGUGCUAAGUUAUAGCAUUUUAUAGACAACUUGUUGACUAUGAUUUGUCUUGUAGCUUACUCGCUUAUGUUAUUUUACCUACGCUUAGGAUGUUGACACACGCGCGUGCUCG
rnacentral:rRNA from 1 species